rnacentral:tRNA from 1 species
GGGGAUUUAGCUCAGUGGUAGAGUGCUUGCCUAGCAACCGCAAGGCCCUGGGUUCGGUCCCCAGCCCCG